ensembl:lncRNA
ACAUCACCUACCUCCUCAGAGGUCUUUAACAUCCCCUUCAGAUACUCCAGAACCACAACAACCAGCCACUGAGCCUUUUAGAUCUCCCUGUACACAAUUCCAAACAACCCUGUUCGUUAAAACAAAGGGAGAUCAUUAUAAAAGAAAAUGCCAGAAGAUUCAUUUCACCAAUAAGAAGCAAACUGUUUCUCUAGUAGAAAUUUUCAGCAGCAAAUACAAUUUUUAGAUUUUUCCAAAGAAUCCUUUUAAAGUUACUUCUUCAUAAGUUGCUUUAACACGUUGGAGAAAACCAAAAAGAAGCUAUUGGAACACCACGGACUAGGAACACGGUGGACUCCUCUCCAGCACCGCAGAUCCUGCAGAUCAGAACCCUCCUCCUGUUAUGGCAACCACGUCCACCUCGCCUCUGGCAGCUACAUGUCACCACCAGGUCUCUGCUGUUCCAGACCCCUCUCACCUCUGCUGAGACCAGGAAGCCCAGUUUCUCCUGCCCAUCAACCCUGAUCUACAAAGACAGCCACUAUUGAGCUUUUCUGUGUCUCAGAAGCCCCUCACUAGUGCCUUCCUCAUCGCCUUAAUGAAGGGACGUUCCUCUGAACUCUCCAGGUGAACAUAUCAGGGCCCCUCUCUGAGGCUUUAGUCCUCAAAUACUCUGCCAGGACAGUCUGGCAUCUUCUCUUCAUUCAUGUAUGCCACCAUUUCCCACAAGAUUUAGGGAGCCAGCCCAAACACACACUGGAAUGAAAUCCAGAUGCCCUUGUGAGGAUGCUAGUCCUGAGUCAUGGGAGAAUGCCCAAGAAGCUCUUCUUGAAGUGAGAAAGUGUUAGUCACUCAGUUGUGUCCAAAUCUUUGUGACCCCAUGGACUUUAGCCCACCAGGCUCUUCUGUCCAUGGAAUUCCCCCAGCAGGAGCACUGGAGUGGGCAGUCAUUCCCUUCUCCAGGGGAUCUUCCUGACCCAAGGAUUGAACCCAGGUCUCCUGCAUUGCAGGUGGACUAUUUACCACUGAGUCACCAGGGAUAUAUACAGGUUUAUAUUCUGCCACCCUCUCCUUCAUCCCAUCUCACAUUCUCAAGAUCCAUUCCCAAGCACAUUUCCCUGAUCCCUGUCUGCUUUAGUCAAGUCCCGAGGUUCCUUCAAUGGAAAAUCUCAUUCCUCCCACCAGAAGGAAUGUCCUUCCCCAGCUGGAUCACCCUGAGUCUUGACCCUAAUCAGCCACGUAGAAUAAAUGAGGGGUUGUGGGUGGUGUGUAAAGCAGCCUCCUUGGACGGGGCCUCAGCCUGGUCUCCGAGCACCAGGAGGUUGGCCUCCUCUAGGAAGAAGGAACAGCCUUUUUGGUGAGGGAACCUCAAGCUCACCCAGGGGUGGUCCCCACUGCAGUCUCUGUGACCCACUACUUCCCUGUGAGGAACUUAAGGACAGGAGAUUGCCAGGGUGAGAGACUCAGCCUUUCUGAUGAUUCAACUCAUCAGUUCAACUUAUCCGAUUAGGCCUGAGGCCUGGUUUUCAGCACUUUCUGCCCUCCACCUUCAGGAGAAGAGAAUCUCCUCAAAUGUGUCUUUCAUGCCAAGCCCCAAGUACUUUGAUUGCACUUAACGACCAAUCAGUCCCUACAGUCCUGAUGAUUACCAUGCUUCCCACAUCUCUCAGAUGUUGUCGAUGUUGUAUUAACCCAUACAUACCUUUCCACACGCACCCCAUCCCAAUUCAUC